CCAAUAGCGUAUAUUAAAGUUGUUGCAGUUAAAAAGCUCGUAGUUGAAUUUCGGGAUUCGUCCAUUGGUCAGGCUUAACUGUCUGUACUGGUGUGUCGGAUUUCUACCUUCUGAAGAACCUUUAUGCCAUUAAUUUGGUGUGUUGGGGAAUCAGGACUGUUACUUUGAAAAAAUUAGAGUGUUUAAAGCAGGCUAACGUCUGAAUACAUUAGCAUGGAAUAAUGAAAUAGGACGGUACGGUUCUAUUUUGUUGGUUUCUAGGAUCGCCGUAAUGAUUAAUAUGGAUAGUUGGGGGCAUUAGUAUUAAAUUGUCAGAGGUGAAAGUCUUGGAUUUAUUGAAGACUAACUACUGCGAAAGCAUUUGCCAAGGAUGUUUUCAUUAAUCAAGAACGAAAGUUAGGGGAUCGAAGACGAUCAGAUACCGUCGUAGUCUUAACCAUAAACUAUGCCGACUAGGGAUUGGACGAUGUUAAUUUUUUAAUGACUCGUUCAGCACCUUACG
rnacentral:rRNA from 1 species